CGCGCAGGCGGUCGGGUUCGUCGCUGGUGAAAGCCCCACGCUCAACGUGGGAAGGUCCGGCGAGACAGCCCGACUGGAGGCAGGGAGAGGUCGGUGGAAUUCCGGGUGUAGUGGUGAAAUGCGUAGAGAUCCGGAGGAACACCAGAGGCGAAGGCGGCCGACUGGACCUGACCUGACGCUGAGGCGCGAAGGCGUGGGGAGCGAACG
rnacentral:rRNA from 1 species